rnacentral:rRNA from 1 species
CAGCAGCCACGGUAAUACAGAGGGUGCGAGCGUUAAUCGGAUUUACUGGGCGUAAAGCGUGCGUAGGCGGCUUCUUAAGUCGGAUGUGAAAUCCCUGAGCUUAACUUAGGAAUUGCAUUCGAUACUGGGAAGCUAGAGUAUGGGAGAGGAUGGUAGAAUUCCAGGUGUAGCGGUGAAAUGCGUAGAGAUCUGGAGGAAUACCGAUGGCGAAGGCAGCCAUCUGGCCUAAUACUGACGCUGAGGUACGAAAGCAUGGGGAGCAAACAGGAUUAGAUACCCGAGUAGUCCCUGUCUCUUAUAA